GUUUUUCUUUUCUGCAAACUUCCUCCAUCUUCACGGAUCAUAUUCACAUUCAAACAUUUUGUGCAUUUAAAUUACAUACGUAAUUGUGAGUUUGUGUAGAGUGUGAAAGGGGCCUGAACCAACAUUUGGUAUCAGAGCCUAGGCUCGUAUCGAGGAAGCCUCCGCCGCCGGCGGGUGUGUCGGUCGGUGGAGGGCAGUCAUGAAAAACGUCCAGCCCGUCGCUGCGGGACAAACGCAGCAGGAAAAUGGGUUGUUCAGGACUGUGUUGAAGCGUUAAUGGAAGCGCUAAGGUGUUUCGGUAGGCCGGUGUUGUGGUAGACGUACCGGUUAAGACGACGGGGGUGACCGGUGAUAAACACUUGUGUUCCGUGGCUGUUAAUAGUGAUCAAAAGAGGGUUCAAGGCUGUUCGGAUGUUAGUUGCAGGUUGGCACAACUGGUAUACAACCGGUGAUAACAGUAGAUUGUGAGAACGGGUACCUUGAUUAACUUGGUUCGUGAUAAGAGGAGACCGGCGUUUUGCGUGAUAAACGGGCGUAAAAGAUCCGUCAAAGUAGGUGGCUUUGGAUUUGUCUCGUUUGGCAAGGUGAGAAAACGAAAUAAGCAGGUGGUUUGUUUUCUUGGUCGGUGGAGAGGCCUCUUGAAUAAGGUUGAUCGGAAAAAGGUAUGGUUAGAGAAAAAAAUAACACGGGGUGACAUUAUGGCGUUGGAGUUGAAUCGGGUGGCUUUGGAUGUGACCGGGGUAGGUCGUUGAUCCGUGAAAAGUCGUGAUGUUAGUGAACGUCAUUUCCAACGUUAUGCCAUGUGACAUGUUACAAGCGUGGUCGGUUUGAUUCGGGUUGAACCGAGUUGAUUUUGGGCAUGACCGGUGGUGGUCAGGGUGUCCGGUAAAAAGUCGUGAUGGUUCGAAACCGAGGUGAUUCGUUGCUGCAGUGAACGGUGUGAACAAACCGAUUAAGGGGGUGAUGUUCGAUUAAUCAGUUCGUUAAUGGGUCACGGUUCGGCACGUUAUUGGGUCAAUGUCAGUUUUUGGUUACGGGUCAGAUGAGGCUCCAAACUCUAGUAGAAGAUAUGCAUAUUAUACAUGUUUUAUUAUAGGUGAAUUGAGUUGAAGAGUGGGUAACGUACCAGUUAUUUAGGAUAGAAAAUAGUGUUUUGUUAACUCACGUGUGCAUGUAAGGCUAUAUAUAAAGCCAUUGUUUAUUAAAUAAUAUUAAGUUUUUCUUU
rnacentral:lncRNA from 1 species